rnacentral:snRNA from 2 species
GUCUUUGGGGACAUUUGAUAAAAUUGGAACAAUACAGAGAAGAUUAGCGUGACUCCUGCUCAAGGAUGACACACAUAAAUUGAGAAAUGGUCCAAAUAUUU